rnacentral:lncRNA from 1 species
GUUCACCUAAGGAGUGCCUGGGGAAAUUGAUCAGAGGGACGACCUGAAGGCGCCUGGGUGGGCUAUGUAGAGAAUGAGUCUCCAGGAGAGUAGGGUUGGCUGGUGGCCCUCUGGGGGAGGGGGGAGGCAGAGCUGAGUCAGGUCACUGCUCCCCGUGGCUGUGGCAGGGGUGGCAGGGCCCAUCAUCCGAGUGUGGCUCUGGCUGGGACCACCAGUUGACUGCUCUGGUGACCUCGAAUUGUGCCCCUUCCUCUGUAAACCUCUGUAAACCUCAGAGUCGAAGCCUCUUCGACUAUGAGAGGCCCUCUGUGACUCUGUGGCUCGCUUCAGACCCAAACAUCCAUGAUUGGUUCCGCUGGGUCUCCCUCGCAAGUCUGGAAGAGGCGACCCCAGGGGGUUUCCUUAUUCCUAAUUAUUUCGUAUUGAAGCUACUUCUUUGGGAGUUUAAAAACAAUUAGCUUAAUCUGGCUGGGGACCCGCUAGGUGAGAAGAGAGCUCAGUCUUAAGGGAAGGGGUCGGCCUCUGCCUGCAGGUGGGCAGCAGCCAGGCCCUCGGUCUGCAGGCUGGAGCGGUUCAUGUCCUGAGAAGCACCACCGUUCAUCACUGUUGACCUUUCAGCCCAGGUGCAGGACGGGCAAUGUCUGCCCAUGUUGGGAGGAAGAUUGAUAAAGCUCUUCAAAAGAUGCUUGUUUGAGCUGUUGGCACUUUGAGCAGGGCAACACACGGGCCUUGUUCCUGCCUGGGACCUGAUCAAAGUAGAAAGAAAAUCUAACAGCCUCCUUCAAAGGAGAAGACGAGAUACGGGUCAGGACAGCCACAGAUUUCUAAGGGAACACAACGUGGGUG